UACGGAGGGUGCAAGCGUUGUCCGGAAUCACUGGGCGUAAAGAGCUCGUAGGUGGCGGGUCACGUCGGGUGUGAAAGCCCGGGGCUUAACUCCGGGUCUGCAUUCGAUACGGGUCUGCUGGGGUCCGGCAGGGGAGACUGGAAUUCCUGGUGUAGCGGUGAAAUGCGCAGAUAUCAGGAGGAACACCGGUGGCGAAGGCGGGUCUCUGGGCCGGUACCGACGCUGAGGAGCGAAAGCGUGGGGAGCGAACAGG
rnacentral:rRNA from 1 species